GACGAACGCUGGCGGCGUGCCUAAUACAUGCAAGUCGAACGCACUCUCGUUUAGAUUGAAGGAGCUUGCUCCUGAUUGAUAAACAUUUGAGUGAGUGGCGGACGGGUGAGUAACACGUGGGUAACCUGCCCUAAAGUGGGGGAUAACAUUUGGAAACAGAUGCUAAUACCGCAUAAAACCUAAACACCGCAUGGUGUAGGGUUGAAAGAUGGUUUCGGCUAUCACUUUAGGAUGGACCCGCGGUGCAUUAGUUAGUUGGUGAGGUAAAGGCUCACCAAGACCGUGAUGCAUAGCCGACCUGAGAGGGUAAUCGGCCACACUGGGACUGAGACACGGCCCAGACUCCUACGGGAGGCAGCAGUAGGGAAUCUUCCACAAUGGACGAAAGUCUGAUGGAGCAACGCCGCGUGAGUGAAGAAGGUUUCGGAUCGUAAAACUCUGUUGUUGGAGAAGAAUGUAUCUGAUAGUAACUGAUCAGGUAGUGACGGUAUCCAACCAG
rnacentral:rRNA from 1 species